GACGAACACUGGUGGCGUGCCUAAUACAUGCAAGUAGAACGCAGUUGCGAACGGGUGAGUAACGCGUAGUUAACUGCCUCCUAGCGGGGGAUAACUAUUGGAAACGAUAGCUAAUACCGCAUACUGUGAGAUGGACCUGCGUUGGAUUAGCUAGUUGGUGAGGUAAAGGCUCACCAAGGCGACGAUACAUAGCCGACCUGAGAGGGUGAUCGGCCACACUGGGACUGAGACACGGCCCAGACUCCUACGGUAGGCAGCAGUAGGGAAUCGUCGGCUAUGGACGGAAGUCGGACCGAGCAACACCGCGGUAAUAC
rnacentral:rRNA from 1 species